CCUUUGAGCUGUUAUUUGGUUUUCUCUCCUUUGCUCCUAGCCUGCAGCUGGCUCCCCCCGGCCCUGGGUGGGAGCUGGUCCUGUCCCUAGGGGUGGCCCCUGGAGGGUGGGUGGAGUUCCAGCCUUGCCCCAGGGCUCUGGACGGAGUCUGGGCCUCCCACCCUCAGGACCCCCUUCCCUGCGGACCUGCAGGUCUGAGUAGCGACAGUGGCCUUGGGGGCAGCUCGGAUGGCAGCUCGGACGUCCUGGCUUUCGGCUCGGGCUCUGUGGUGGACAGCGUCACUGAGGAGGAGGGUGCAGAGUCGGAGGAGUCCAGCGGUGAGGCAGACGGGGACACUGAGGCCGAGGCCUGGGGCCUGGCGGACGUGCGCGAGCUGCACCCGGGGCUCUUGGCGCACCGCGCAGCGCGUGCCCGCGACCU
rnacentral:lncRNA from 1 species